GGUGGGAUGGCCGAGUGGUUUAAGGCAGCGGUCUUGAAAACCGCCAGGGGCGCAAGCUCCUCGUAGGUUCGAAUCCUACUCCCACCGCCA
rnacentral:tRNA from 1 species